rnacentral:tRNA from 1 species
GCUGAAAUGGCCGAGUAGUUAAGGCGAUGGACUCGAAAUCCAUUGGGAUAUUCCCGCGCAGGUUCGAAUCCUGUUCGCAGCG